CGGGGGAGCAAGCGUUGUUCGGAUUUACUGGGCGUAAAGGGCGCGUAGGCGGCCACCGCAAGUCGACUGUGAAAUCUCCGGGCUUAACCCGGAAAGGUCAGCCGAUACUGCGGGGCUAGAGUGCAGAAGGGGCAACUGGAAUUCUCGGUGUAGCGGUGAAAUGCGUAGAUAUCGAGAGGAACACCUGCGGCGAAGGCGGGUUGCUGGGCUGAUACUGACGCUGAGGCGCGAAAGCUAGGGGAGCGAACGGGAUUAGAUACCCCGGUAGUCCUAGCCUUAAACGAUGAAUGCUUGGUGUCUGGGGUUUUAUAGUCCCCGGGUGCCGUCGCUAACGCUUUAAGCAUUCCGCCUGGGGAGUACGGUCUCAAGACUG
rnacentral:rRNA from 1 species